rnacentral:rRNA from 1 species
GACAUUAGACGAAUCAUCUGGAAAGAUGAAUCAAAGAAGGUAAUAAUCCUGUAGUCGAAAAUGUUGUCUCUCUUGAGUGGAUCCUGAGUACGACGGAGCACGUGAAAUUCCGUCGGAAUCUGGGAGGACCAUCUCCUAAGGCUAAAUACUCUCUAGUGACCGAUAGUGAACCAGUACCGUGAGGGAAAGGUGAAAAGCACCCCGGAAGGGGAGUGAAAUAGAACCUGAAACCGUGUGCUUACAAGUAGUCAGAGCCCGUUAAUGGGUGAUGGCGUGCCUUUUGUAGAAUGAACCGGCGAGUUACGAUUUGAUGCAAGGUUAAGCAGUAAAUGUGGAGCCGUAGCGAAAGCGAGUCUGAAU